AUUGAACGCUGGCGGCAUGCCUUACACAUGCGAGUCGAACGGCAGCGGACCUUCGGGUGCCGGCGAGUGGCGAACGGGUGAGUAAUGUAUCGGAACGUACCUUUCAGUGGGGGAUAACGUAGCGAAAGUUACGCUAAUACCGCAUAUUCUGUGAGCAGGAAAGCAGGGGAUCGCAAGACCUUGCGCUGAUUGAGCGGCCGAUAUCAGAUUAGCUAGUUGGUGAGGUAAAGGCUCACCAAGGCGACGAUCUGUAGCGGGUCUGAGAGGAUGAUCCGCCACACUGGAACUGAGACACGGUCCAGACUCCUACGGGAGGCAGCAGUGGGGAAUUUUGGACAAUGGGGGAAACCCUGAUCCAGCAAUGCCGCGUGUGUGAAGAAGGCCUUCGGGUUGUAAAGCACUUUCAGUGGGGAGGAAGGGUGUGAUGCUAAUAUCAUCAUGCAUUGACGUUACCCACAGAAGAAGCAUCGGCUAACUCUGUGCCAGCCGCCGCCGUAAGAC
rnacentral:rRNA from 1 species